GACGAACCGUGCUAACGUUGUUCGGAUUCACUGGGCUUAAAGGGCGCGUAGGCGGACGAUCAAGUCCAGGGUGAAAUACUCCAGCUUAACUGGAGAACUGCCCCGGAUACUGGUCGCCUUGAGGGAGGUAGGGGCAUGUGGAACUUCCGGUGGAGCGGUGAAAUGUGUUGAUAUCGGAAGGAACGCCGGUGGCGAAAGCGACGUGCUGGGCCUCUUCUGACGCUGAGGCGCGAAAGCUAGGGUAGCGAACGGG
rnacentral:rRNA from 1 species